AACAGGGUUCGAUCAUAACAGAUUGAACGCUGGCGGAGAUGCUUACGUACCAGUCGAACAUAGCACGGACUUCGGUCUGGUGGCGAGUGGCGAACGGGUGGUAAUGUAUCGGAACGUGCCUAGUAGCGGGGGGAUAACUACGCGGCGUAGCUAAUACCACAUACGCCCUUCGGGGAAAGCGAGGGGACCUUCGGGCUCGCACUAUUAAACGGCCGAUAUCGGAUUAGCUAGUUGAUGGGAGUAACGCUCACCAAAGGCGACGAUCCGUAGCUGGUUUGGGAGAAGGUGACCAGCCACUGGGACUGAGACACGGCCCAGACUCUACAGGAGGCAGCGGUGGGGAAUUUUGGACAAUGGGGAAACCCUGAUCCCAGCCAUCCCGCGUGCGAUGAAGGACUUCGGGUUGUAAAGCACUUUUGGCAGGAAAAGAAGCGGCGCAGGAUAAUACCCGUGCAACUGACUAAUCCUGCAGAAUAAGCACCGGCUAACUACGUGCCAGCAACCGCGGUAAUACAUGGGUGCAAGCGUUAAUCGGAAUUGGGCGUAAAGCGUGCGCGAGCGGUUCGGAAAAGAUGUGAAAUCAGAACAACUUUUUGGAACUGCAUUUUUAACUACCGGCGACUGGAAGGUGUGUCAGAGGAACGGAAUUCCGCGUGUGGCAGUGAAAUGCAUGAAUAUGCGGAGGAGGAACACCAUUAAGCGAAGGCAGCUACGAGAUGGCACGCGACGCUCAUUUUUAGCGUGAAGACAGGAUUAGAUACCUGGUAGUCCGCCUAAACAGUCAACUAUAUUUGGGGCCUUCGAACUGGUAGCGCAAUAACGCAUUGAGGAUUGACCGCAGGAGUACGGUCGCAGAUUAAAACUCAAGAGAUUGACGGGGACCCGCACAAGCGGGAAGUGGAUGAUGGAUUAAUUCAGUACGCGCGAAAAACCUUACUACCACCACUUGACAUGUACCUGGUCCGAAGAGAUUUAGGAGUGCCGCAAGAGAACAGGUGCUGCAUGGCUGUCGUCAGCUCGUGUCGUGAGAUGUUGAAGGUUAAGUCACAACGAGCGCAACCCUUUGUCAUUAGUUGCUACGAAAGGGCACUCUAAUAAGGACUGCCGGUGACAAACCGGAGGAAGGUGGGGAUGACGUCAAGUCCUCAUGGCCCAUAUGGGUAGGGCUUCACACGUCAUACAAUGGUCGGGACAGGGUCGCCAACCCGCGAGGGGAGCCAAUCCCGAAAAGCCACGAUCUGGCAGUGGAUCGCAGUCUGCAACUCGACUGCGUGAAGUCGAAUCGCUGGUAAUCGCGGAUCGGCAUGUCGCGGUGAAUACGUUCCCAGGUCUUGUACACCGCCCGUCACACCAUGAGGUGGGUUUCCCCGAAAGUAGUUAGCCUAACCGUAAGGAGGGCGAUUACGGUAAGUUCGCGGGCUGGGGUGAAGUCGUAACCGGGGUAA
rnacentral:rRNA from 1 species